rnacentral:rRNA from 1 species
GUAGCGGUGAAAUGCGUAGAGAUCUGGAGGAAUACCGGUGGCGAAGGCGGCCCCCUGGACGAAGACUGACGCUCAGGUGCGAAAGCGUGGGGAGCAAACAGGAUUAGAUACCCCUGGUAGUCCACGCCGUAAACGAUGUCGACUUGGAGGUUGUGCCCUUGAGGCGUGGCUUCCGGAGCUAACGCGUUAAGUCGACCGCCUGGGGAGUACGGCCGCAAGGUUAAAACUCAAAUGAAUUGACGGGGGCCCGCACAAGCGGUGGAGCAUGUGGUUUAAUUCGAUGCAACGCGAAGAACCUUACCUGGUCUUGACAUCCACGGAAGUUUCCAGAGAUGAAAAUGUGCCUUCGGGAACCGUGAGACAGGUGCUGCAUGGCUGUCGUCAGCUCGUGUUGUGAAAUGUUGGGUUAAGUCCCGCAACGAGCGCAACCCUUAUCCUUUGUUGCCAGCGGUCCGGCCGGGAACUCAAAGGAGACUGCCAGUGAUAAACUGGAGGAAGGUGGGGAUGACGUCAAGUCAUCAUGGCCCUUACGACCAGGGCUACACACGUGCUACAAUGGCGCAUACAAAGAGAAGCGACCUCGCGAGAGCAAGCGGACCUCAUAAAGUGCGUCGUAGUCCGGAUUGGAGUCUGCAACUCGACUCCAUGGGGUCGGAAUCGCUAGUAAUCGUGGAUCAGAAUGCCACGGUGAAUACGUUCC